rnacentral:rRNA from 1 species
CCGGAUUGGAGUCUGCAACUCGACUCCAUGAAGUCGGAAUCGCUAGUAAUCGUGGAUCAGAAUGCCACGGUGAAUACGUUCCCGGGCCUUGUACACACCGCCCGUCACACCAUGGGAGUGGGCUGCACCAGAAGUAGAUAGCUUAACCUUUCGGGGAGGGCGUUUACCACGGUGUGGUUCAUGACUGGGGUGAAGUCGUAACAAGGUAGCGCUAGGGGAACCUGGCGCUGGAUCACCUCCUUAUACGAUGAU